UAUAUCCUUCGGGGCAGGGUGAAAUUCCCUACCGGCGGUGAUGAUGCGGCAGCCGAUCAGUUCUGGCGCCCGUCUCAGUCCGUGACCCGGACGCUUCGUUUGACGAUUAGCGUACGGUGGACCUGGUGCAAAUCCGGGACCGACAGUAUAGUCUGGAUGGGAGAAGGAGAGA
rnacentral:ncRNA from 1 species